rnacentral:tRNA from 1 species
CAGUUAGCUUAGCUGGUAGAGCGUUGGCCUAGUUACCGACAGGUCGUGGGUUCGAGCCCCACACU